rnacentral:rRNA from 1 species
CACGUAGGGGGCAAGCGUUGUCCGGAUUCAUUGGGCGUAAAGAGCUCGUAGGCGGCUCAGUAAGUCGGGUGUGAAACCCUCAGGCUCAACCUGGGGACGCCACUCGAUACUGCUGUGGCUAGAGUCCAGUAGAGGAGUGUGGAAUUCCCGGUGUAGCGGUGAAAUGCGCAGAUAUCGGGAGGAACACCAACGGCGAAGGCAGCACUCUGGGCUGGAACUGACGCUGAGGAGACGAAAGCGUGGGUAGCAAACAGG